CAAAGGUAGCAUAAUCAUUAGUUUUUUAAUUGAAAGCUGGAAUGAAUGGUUGGACGAGAAAAUAACUGUCUCAAUUUAAUUUAAAUUAGAAUUUUAUUUUUAAGUUAAAAAGCUUAAAUAAAUUUAAAAGACGAGAAGACCCUAUAGAGUUUUAUAUUUUUUAGUAUAUUUAUAAUUUAGUAAUUUUCAGAAUUUAUACUAAAAAGUAUUUUGUUGGGGUGACAGAAAAAUUAAUUAAACUUUUUUUUUAUAUUAACAUAUAUUUAUGAGUGUUUGAUCCGUUUAUUACGAUUAAAAGAUUAAAUUACCUUAGGGAUAACAGCGUAAUUUUUUUUGAGAGUUCUAAUCGAAAAAAGAGUUUGCGACCUCGAUGUUGGAUUAAAAUUAACUUUUGGUGCAGAAGCUAAAAAGUUGGGUCUGUUCGACCUUUAGAAUUUUACAUGAUCUGAGUUUAAACCGGCGUGAGCCAGGUUGGUUUCUAUCUUUAAAAAAGUUUUAUAUUUUAGUACGAAAGGACCAAGUAUAAGUAAAAUUUAUUUUAUUUUGAAUAUUAAUA
rnacentral:rRNA from 1 species